AGUCGACGAUUAAGCACCUUCAGGUGUGUAUAGAGUGGCGAACGGGUGAGUAACACGUGACCAACCUGCCUCUUACAUUGGGACAACCAAAAGAAAUUCUGGCUAAUACCAAAUACUCCGCACAUAUCACAUGAUGUAUGCGGGAAAGCUUUUGCGGUAAGAGAUGGGGUCGCGGCCCAUUAGGUAGACGGCGGGGUAGAAGCCCACCGUGCCGAUGAUGGGUAGCCGGGUUGAGAGACCGACCGGCCACAUUGGGACUGAGAUACGGCCCAGACUCCUACGGGAGGCAGCAGUGGGGAAUAUUGCGCAAUGGGGGAAACCCUGACGCAGCAACGCCGCGUGCGGGAUGAAGGCCUUCGGGUUGUAAACCGCUUUCAGCAGGGAAGACAUCGACGGUACCUGCAGAAGAAGCCCCGGCUAACUACGUGCCAGCAGCCGCGGUAAUACGUAGGGGGCGAGCGUUAUCCGGAUUCAUUGGGCGUAAAGCGCGCGCAGGCGGUUGCUCAAGCGGAACCUCUAAUCUCGGGGCUUAACCUCGAGCCGGGUUCCGAACUGGACGACUCGAGUGCGGUAGAGGCAGAUGGAAUUCCCGGUGUAGCGGUGGAAUGCGCAGAUAUCGGGAAGAACACCAACGGCGAAGGCAGUCUGCUGGGCCGUCACUGACGCCGAGGCGCGAAAGCUGGGGGAGCGAACAGGAUUAGAUACCCUGGUAGUCCCAGCCGUAAACGAUGAGCGCUGGGUGUGGGAGAUUACAUCUUCCGUGCCGAAGCUAACGCAUUAAGCGCUCCGCCUGGGGAGUACGGCCGCAAGGCUAANACUCAAAGGAAUUGACGGGGGCCCGCACAAGCAGCGGAGCAUGUGGCUUAAU
rnacentral:rRNA from 1 species